rnacentral:tRNA from 1 species
GGGUCCGUAGCGCAGUAUGGAUAGCGCGUCGGCCUUCGGAGCCGAAGGUCCCGGGUUCAAAUCCCGGCGGACCCG